GAACAGUAUAUCAAAUUAUUUUUGCUCAUUGAAGUCCAAUGUGUAUCACGCCUAUGGCCCAGUCGUCUGGGCUAUCGGCUUCGAAAGAGAACAAGCUGCAUCGAAAAUGGAAAGAUGGAUGGAAGUUAACUUGAUUCCGAUGGUUUCUUAUUUUAACGUCCAUUAUUUUUGUGUCUGACCUUGUUGUCUGUUUGCCUUAACCGUGAUAGUCAUAUAGAUUAAGAUGUCUGUCUUGCCAUUGAACAAGGUCAGAUGGUUGCCAGUGCAAGACAGCGGGAGGGAGCGUGAAGUAAAAGACGCAUGGAAGUGAGACAGGCCAAGAGGAUGCAGCAAAGACGACACUGAGUGGUGCUCAUGUGGCGUGACUGAAGCAAAGCACUCAUCCUGUCUUCAACUCCUGUAAAGUAUGGCUGAGUCAGCGAAAUUGCCCUGAAUUGUCAUGUGUGUGUGAACAUGGCAUUGGUAAUCACCUUCACCUCUCUAACACACACCCCGAGCCUCCCCGCCCUCCUCCCAGCUCUCUCUCUCUCUCUCUCUUUUUCAUCCCCUCUGUCCCUCUGCAGUACCUUCCGCACUCAUUUCUCUCCUCGCCGGCCGUGGAAACGUUCGCUUUCUGCUCCUCUGCCUGGCCGCUCUGCGCCAGCAUCCCUCAUUGUGCCUCCUUUCUCCCAGACUCCAUCCAGCACUGCUCCAGCCUACAUCUCCCCUCUGUGUGGCUUGCUGGCUGGUGCGCUUGCCUGACAGAUCCCUCUGCUGCCUGAGUGUUGAGGCUAUAUCUGACUCCACAGCACGUCGUCAAACAGCUUCUGUGCUGCCUUUUUUUUUUUUGUGGCUUGCUGGAUCACCACUGAGACUCCUGACCGAAGACAGAAAGAGAGAGAGAGAGAGAGAGAGAGAGAGAGAGAGAGAGAGAGAGAGAGAGAGAGUGGGCGAGUGAGAGGGGAAGACAGGGACACAAACAGGGGGCCGGGGGGGGGGACGCAUUCCCCAGCCUGGACAGAACUCUUUACGCGUCCUUCCUGGGACAGGAGGGGGUGGGGGGCAAAGGGAGGGACUGAAAGCACGACCACCUUUCUCCAAAGACCUGUAAGAGAGCCACAUUUUGUUUUUGGCCAAAUUCAACUGUGACAGGACAAGGGCAACAUUCAGAAUAGGGAAAAACACAAGCAUUCGGACAAGAUAAGUGGUAUCAUGGCGUCAUUGGAAAACACCGGUGUGCCAGGUCUGUUGUUUGCGCUGCUGCUCGUCUUUGAUUCAGAUGUGCUGCACGUUCGUGGACUGGAGGUAACAACAGGAAAAGUGUCAUCAAUCGAAGCGAUGAAUGGCUCCACUGUGCUGUUACCCUGCACCUUCUCAUCCUGCAUUGGCAUUCACCAGCUCUACUUCAGCUGGCAUUAUAAUAACGGCACAAUGCAAAUGUUAUGCAAUGGGGUGGUUCCGAGCGAAGGUGUGGAGCCCAGGGUGAAAGUGCAACACCCGCGAAUAGAGUUUGUAGGCUCUUCCAAGAAGCACAAUAUUUCUGUCCUGUUGUGGAAUAUCACCUUUGAAGAUGAAGGAGAGUACACCUGUUUUGCAAGAAACCCGAAAGAGAAGUACCGCAACCACAGCACUGUCUUCACUCUCUAUGUGGUGGAUCAAAUGAGGGAGGUUGACAAUACGUUAACUGUCAUCAUUGUCUCUGUGUUGGGCGGAGUCAUUGGCGUAGUUAUCAUCGUGAUGGUGAUAAAGGCCUUGGUGGUCCAAUUCCUACUGAAGGAUGAUGAGAAGAAGGAUGGGAUCGGGAGCGAGGAGAAGCAGCAGUAAAACAGGCCAAAUUCAACAAGUGAACCUCCAAACUGUCCUAAAGGCAAAAUGGCCCCACAGCAACGCAAGUAAAGAGUGCUUGGUAAAUGCCUCAGGGAACGACAAUACCGAAAAUGGACUUACAGGAGCCAAAGCUGACAACAAAGGAACACCAAAGGCAUGAGCAAAAACGCAGCGUUACGUUUGUAUAUAUGUUACAACAAAUGUACACUCUCAAGUACACUAAGCAAAUGUACAGCUCCAUCAUUGCUUCAAUUUA